AAAGCAACAUAAUACCUUUACUCAUAAUUUAUUCACAAUAACAAAAUUAUUUUUCAAUAUCUCUGUCUGUUGCUUGACAUUUAUUUUUAGCUUGCACUUUUAAUUCUGUUUGUACAAUAUUGUUUGCAUAAUUUAGGGUCUGUGCAAUUCCCACAAUGUCUAGUCUCUGUCCCCACAGUCGGGUGGUAUAAUCCGGUAACCCUUCGGAUUUGAAUCAGAAAAAGAAUAAUAGCGAUGAAAGCGAAGUUGAACGGCGAAUGGUUGAACAGCGACGCGAGAAACGCAGCCGGGUCAUUUCUGACCCAUUUUAAACUGUUUUGGUGGCGCCAGGAGGAUGAAUUUCGCCGAUCCUUUACCUUAACAGUAAAACUACCGGACGGGACUAACAUCGGUAAGCGAGGGUUCAGCAGGAGAUUGAUUACGAACCGCAGUCGAUGAACUUUCAGGUUGGAAUAAAAAUGAUUGUAAGGAGAUUGCCUCGGAAUAUAAGAUGUUGUAAUAGCUAUAUAAAUAACAGUAUCUAUCAAUAAGUUCAUCGUUAGAUUGUUAAAAGUACAGAAAUAUUUUGAGCAUUUCAGUUACGCUAACUAUUAUAAUAACUUUCCGCUUGAAUGGAGAAUGCAUAUUUUAAAUGUAUUAUUUGUAAUGCUGCAGAAAACAAUAAACGGAAGUUUA